rnacentral:rRNA from 1 species
AACGAACGCUGGCGGCAGGCUUAACACAUGCAAGUCGAGCGAGACCUUCGGGUCUAGCGGCGGACGGGUGAGUAACGCGUGGGAACGUGCCCUUCUCUACGGAAUAGCCCCGGGAAACUGGGAGUAAUACCGUAUACGCCCUUUGGGGGAAAGAUUUAUCGGAGAAGGAUCGGCCCGCGUUGGAUUAGGUAGUUGGUGGGGUAAUGGCCCACCAAGCCGACGAUCCAUAGCUGGUUUGAGAGGAUGAUCAGCCACACUGGGACUGAGACACGGCCCAGACUCCUACGGGAGGCAGCAGUGGGGAAUCUUAGACAAUGGGGGCAACCCUGAUCUAGCCAUGCCGCGUGAGUGAUGAAGGCCUUAGGGUUGUAAAGCUCUUUCAGCUGUGAAGAUAAUGACGGUACCAGCAGAAGAAGCCCCGGCUAACUCCGUG